rnacentral:rRNA from 1 species
CGGAGGCAGCAGUGGGGAAUUUUGCGCAAUGGGCGAAAGCCUGACGCAGCAAUGCCGCGUGAGUGAUGAAGGCCUUCGGGUCGUAAAGCUCUGUCAGAGGGGAAGAAACUCCCGUCGAUUAAUACCCGGCGGGCCUGACGGUACCCUCAAAGGAAGCACCGGCUAACUCCGUGCCAGCAGCCGCGGUAAUACGGAGGGUGCAAACGUUGUUCGGAAUUAUUGGGCGUAAAGCGCGUGUAGGCGGCUCGUUAAGUCUGAUGUGAAAGCCCUGGGCUUAACCUGGGAAGUGCAUUGGAAACUGGCGAACUUGAGUAUGGGAGAGGAAAGUGGAAUUCCGAGUGUAGGGGUGAAAUCCGUAGAUAUUCGGAGGAACACCAGUGGCGAAGGCGGCUUUCUGGACCAAUACUGACGCUGAGACGCGAAAGCGUGGGGAGCAAACAGGAUUAGAUACCCCCGUAC